UGGUGGACAGUGGCAGACGGGUGAGUAACGCGUGGGAAGUGCCUUUCGGUUCGGAAUAACCCAGGGAAACUUGGGCUAAUACCGGAUACGCCCUUCGGGGGAAAGAUUCAUUGCCGAAAGAUCGGCCCGCGUCGGAUUAGCUAGUUGGUGGGGUAAUGGCUCACCAAGGCGACGAUCCGUAGCUGGUCUGAGAGGAUGACCAGCCACACUGGGACUGAGACACGGCCCAGACUCCUACGGGAGGCAGCAGUGGGGAAUUGUUCGCAAUGGGCGCAAGCCUGACGACGCAACGCCGCGUGGAGGAUGAAGAUCUUCGGGUCGUAAACUCCUUUCGAUCGAGACGAAUUCCUUCCGGAUGAACAUUUCGGGAGGUUGACGGUACCGAGAGAAGAAGCCC
rnacentral:rRNA from 1 species